GAUGAACGCUAGCGACAGGCUUAACACAUGCAAGUCGAGGGGCAGCAUAAAAGUAGCAAUACUUUGGUGGCGACCGGCGCACGGGUGAGUAACGCGUAUGCAACCUACCUAUCAGAGGGGGAUAACCCGGCGAAAGUCGGACUAAUACCGCAUAAAACAGGGGCACCGCAUGGUGAUAUUUGUUAAAAAUUUAUUGCUGAUAGAUGGGCAUGCGUUCCAUUAGGUAGUUGGAGAGGUAACGGCUCACCAAGCCCACGAUGGAUAGGGGAACUGAGAGGUUGGUCCCCCAACUGGUACUGAGACACGGACCAGACUCCUACGGGAGGCAGCAGUGAGGAAUAUUGGUCAAUGGGCGAGAGCCUGAACCAGCCAAGUCGCGUGAAGGAAGAAGGAUUUAUGGUUCGUAAACUUCUUUUGCAGGGGAAUAAAGUGCAGGACGUGUCCUGUUUUGUAUGUACCCUGAGAAUAAGGAUCGGCUAACUCCGUGCCAGCAGCCGACGGUAAAGAGU
rnacentral:rRNA from 1 species